rnacentral:rRNA from 1 species
GACGAACGCUGGCGGCGUGCUUAACACAUGCAAGUCGAGCGAGGCCCCUCCUUCGGGAGGGUGUCCUAGCGGCGAACGGGUGAGUAACACGUGGGCAACCUGCCCUCAGCUCUGGGAUAACUCCGGGAAACCGGGGCUAAUACCGGAUACGACCUCCACGGGCAUCUGCGGAGGUGGAAAGUUUUUCGGCUGAGGAUGGGCCCGCGGCCUAUCAGCUAGUUGGUGGGGUAGUGGCCCACCAAGGCGACGACGGGUAGCCGGCCUGAGAGGGCGACCGGCCACACUGGGACUGAGACACGGCCCAGACUCCUACGGGAGGCAGCAGUGGGGAAUAUUGCGCAAUGAGCGAAAGCCUGACGCAGCGACGCCGCGUGAGGGACGAAGGCCUUCGGGUUGUAAACCUCUUUCAGCAGGGACGAAGCGAAAGUGACGGUACCUGCAGAAGAAGCACCGGCCAACUACGUG